UAGGGAAUAUUGGUCAAUGGGUGAGAGCCUGAACCAGCCAUGCCGCGUGCAGGAAGAAGGCCUUCUGGGUUGUAAACUGCUUUUGCCAGGGGAUAAAAAUACCUUGCGAGGUAAAUUGAAGGUACCUGGUGAAUAAGCCACGGCUAACUACGUGCCAGCAGCCGCGGUAAUACGUAGGUGGCAAGCGUUGUCCGGAUUUAUUGGGUUUAAAGGGUGCGUAGGCGGCCCUGUAAGUCAGUGCUGAAAUAUCCCAGCUUAACUGGGAGGGUGGCAUUGAUACUGCGGGGCUAGAGUACAGAUGAGGUAGGCGGAAUUGACGGUGUAGCGGUGAAAUGCUUAGAUAUCGUCAAGAACACCUAUAGCGAAGGCAGCUUACUAGGCUGUAACUGACGCUGAGGCACGAAAGUGUGGGGAUCAAACAGGAUUAGAUACCCUGGUAGUCCACACUGUAAACGUUGAUUACUCGCUGUGUGCGAUAUACAGUACG
rnacentral:rRNA from 1 species